rnacentral:rRNA from 1 species
UACGUAGGGCGCAAGCGUUGUCCGGAAUUAUUGGGCGUAAAGAGCUCGUAGGUGGUUUGUUACGUCUGCUGUGAAAUCCUAGGGCUUAACCCUGGGCUUGCAGUGGAUACGGGCAGACUAGAGGCAGGUAGGGGAGAAUGGAAUUCCCGGUGUAGCGGUGAAAUGCGCAGAUAUCGAGAGGAACACCGGUGGCGAAGGCGGCUACCUGGACAGUGACUGACGCUGAGACGCGAAAGCGUGGGGAGCAAACAGG